GUGACACUAUCAUCCAAAUUGCAGACUUCUCAACUUUCUCAUGGAAUGCAAGAAUCUGAUACACCACUACAUUGAAUAGUACAAGACAAUUUGCUUUCUUUAUUUUCAUCUUCUGCAUGUUUGUAAUUCUUUGCUUUCCUUUCCAGUAAGAUGCAAAGCAUGUGAAUGUCCUUGAUUUAUGAGUAUGUCUAUAUCAAAGUAGAUAAUAGACAGUGGACUAGCGGUUGAA
rnacentral:lncRNA from 1 species